rnacentral:misc_RNA from 1 species
AAAAAUCUCAAUAAUGAUAUUACAGUACAAUAGAUGUCAGGAUAUGAAGCAACCAAGUACCCGAAAUUGAUACAAAAGGAACAAACAUACUUCGUAACUAGUACCAGCUGAACGCCACUUCCAACAAGCUAAUAAAUUGUACACAAAGUGUUUAAACUGCUACAAAAAUUCUGCUUCAGAGACUUCUUGCCUUGACAUUUUUGAAUGUGAUACAAUAGUAGUCUAUCUAGACAAGCAACC